CCAGGGUUUAAGACAAUUGUUUUAAAUAGACUAAGUUGGCAGAAGGUAUAUCUAAUGACGUACCAACGAAACAUCGCAAAGUUUUGGGAAUGGGGGCGGAAGAUUGUAUGUGUAGGUCGUAAUUAUGUUGACCACUGUGCAGAACUUAAGAACCCAGUGCCUAAAUCUCCACUGAUAUUCUUAAAACCAACUUCUUCGUACGUUCGCGAGGGCAGUGCAGUCAAAAUACCUACAGGGUGUAGUACCUUGCACCAUGAAGUGGAACUUGGGAUUGUUAUUUCCAAAAAAGGCGGUGACAUACAAACGGACAAGGCCAUGGACCAUGUGGGGGGAUAUGUGCUGGCAUUGGAUAUGACAGCAAGGGAUUGGCAAGACGUUGCAAAGAGCCAAGGCAAGCCAUGGUCAAUGGCUAAAGGCUUUGACACAGCGUGUCCUGUCAGUGACUUCAUUGAGAAAGACAAAAUUUCUGAUCCUCAUAAUAUAAAGCUAUGGUUGAAAGUGAAUAAUGAAAUGAAACAAAAUGGAUCAACCAAGGAUAUGAUAUUCAAUAUACCCUACCUGAUACAUUAUGUUAGUACAGUAAUGCAUCUUGAAGAAGGUGAUGUCAUUUUGACGGGAACCCCAGAGGGAGUGGGCCCGGUCAAAUCUGGUGAUGUCAUGGAAUGUGGAAUAGAGUCUGUUAUUUCUAUGAAAUUUCCAGUUCAAAUGAAAUAAUUAUAACACCACUAAUAAAUGUCGUUCAUUAAUUCUAUUGUUAUAAUCUGAAAAUCUAUUGCAAUAAAUGUUUUUGGUACUGCUGUAGUUUACAAUUAGUUGAUUGAAUUCUUCAUAACAAACAUAUACAAAAUAUGCAUUGGGGAUUUAAAUAUUUAUGUACAUCAAAACGGGGUGUAAAUAAUUUAAUGUUUUAAACCUCAUUCCUGCAAAGUUUUAUUUAGUCGGCUUUGGUGCUUUAUUUAAUAGUCUGAUAAAUUUUUUUCGUCAAAAAUUUUUUUUACAGAUUUUAUGAUAUAUAUAUAUAUAAUAUUAACCACAGUUCAAAUUUCCAUAAGUUAUUUAGGAUAUGUAUCCCUUCAACUUGUGUGUCUUCUUUUUAAAUUUUAAAACAUAAGGGAAUGUUUAGUUUUUCCAACCUUGUCCUAUUUCACAGACAUUAUGUCGCUCAUAUAUUUAUAAUAACAAUGUAUCCCAUGAAUCGAAGGUUGUUUAACAUAGUUGGGUGUGCGUUGUUUUGGACCUGAAUCAUGUCAACAUACAAUCCACAUGAGGGCAGAGGAGAGCGAAUUGUGACGAAAUUCAAGAUCAAUUUGCCGCCAACGAUUAAAAUAACGAAAAGUGAACUCAAGAUCAGGAAACCGAUUCUUAAACAUUUGCUGAGCAAGUUUACACACGGGAAUCCUACAAUGAAACAUGUGAAAGCCACAUUUAGUGCCCCGGUGCCCGUGAAAGCCAGCAAUGAAUUCUCACUGUCAGUAUCUGAACCAGUCAUGCAUAAAGCGACCGCAUCGUUUUCAUGGGAACUCCCAGUUUCAGUGAAUAAUCCUGAACAUACAAGGCUGUUUGUACGACCACCUGUAUCAAGCAAUGAUCAAAACCACACAUCGUUUAACAAGAGCGAACCGCUUUUAGUUAACGACCCAAACAACACCCAAGUUAUAAUCGAACAACAACCACAAUUCACAAGCAAACCUACAGAUAGUUCGCUUGAAUGGAAUCUGCCGGAGUUCUCGGAAAAAAUGAUGUCCGUGCUUGAACAGUCUGUGCCUAUUAUGUCUAAUGAUAAAGUGCCUGUCCUGGAACAAAGUAUUCCAGUGAUAUCAGAUGACCAAGAGUCUGUUCUACUUCAUAACAUUCCCCUUAUAUGUAAUGAAACACCUGCCGAUCUAAAACACAACAUUCCCGAAAUGGACGGCAACGCUUCCAACUUUGUUCUGCUUAAAAACAUCCCAGACUUAGAGUUGAUUGAAUAUACAUUGGAACAAAGCAUACCACUGCUAUACUUAGUUAACACAGAGCUUAUUUUCCCUUUUCCUGAACUGCUGGAGGUUCCAACAACAUUAGAACACAACAGACCUUUGAUGAAAGUGGUUGAAUCAAUCCUCAUUCACCGCAAACCUUUACUUGCUGAUCUAACAACCGUUCUUGAACACAACAAACCAUUACUUCAUUAUAUAGAAGACAUAGUGGAAAACAACCAUCCACAAUUACUCGAUGUUCCACAAAUAUUUGAGAUUGCUGAACCCAUUCUAAUAUUAGAUGAAGAUUAAUAUUUAGAAUCACCCAAGAUUUAUUUCAAUCACCUGUAGUCAUCAGAAAAUAUAAAUUUAGCAACUUUUUAACAUUA